rnacentral:tRNA from 1 species
AUUUAAAUAGUUUAAUUAAAAUAUUGACUUGUGGUGUCAAAGAUGUGAUAUUUUCAUUUUAAAUA